GCGGCGGCGGCGGGAGCAUCCCGGUGCUGCGAGCCCAGCGCCGGCUGCUGCCAGCCCAAAGUGCUGCCUCCGCACCAUUUCCUUCUCCUGGCCUUGCCUUCUGGUAGGGAUCCCUCUCCUCCCGCCGCCCCGGGGCUGCGUGCGCGGCCGGGAGAGGCUCUGGCAACGGUAAAGCCCAAACGCAUCAAAACAAGUGGAGGAGAAACCUGACACAACACAAACCCUGCAGAGCCUAAAACCCAUCACUGUGGUGUCCACCUGCACCCCUCAGCUCCAGAGGCUCAGCUUGGACAAAAUUCCACAUCCUCAAUCCAGCAGCCACACCCUCACUGCUGAACAGCCAAGGCUAUGACUAAGAGAAAUCCACAUUUGGAGGGAUAGCAGAAGAUGGAGGCCCUGGUCCAGCUGCGGAGGGAGAAUAAAGUCGGGAGUUUGCAGA